rnacentral:rRNA from 1 species
UACGUAGGGCGCGAGCGUUGUCCGGAUUUACUGGGCGUAAAGGGCUCGUAGGCGGUCCGUCGCGUCGGCUGUGAAAGACCGCAGCUCAACUGCGGAAACGCAGUCGAUACGGGCGGACUAGAGGACGGUAGAGGCAAGCGGAAUUCCUGGUGUAGCGGUGAAAUGCGCAGAUAUCAGGAGGAACACCGAUGGCGAAGGCAGCUUGCUGGGCCGUUCCUGACGCUGAGGAGCGAAAGCGUGGGGAGCGAACAGG